GCUUCGGUGGAGCGACGGUUAGCGUGCGCUCCCGGGAAGAGUGAGAUCUGAGUUCAAAUCCCGGCUGACGCA